GCCUUCGUGGUGUAAUGGUCAGCACACUCGGCUUUUAUUCCAGAGGUCCGAGGUUCGAGUCCCGGCGAGGGCA
rnacentral:tRNA from 1 species